rnacentral:rRNA from 1 species
AUUGAACGCUGGCGGCAGGCCUAACACAUGCAAGUCGAGCGAGCGGCGGACGGGGGAGUGAUGUCUGGGGAACUGCCCGAUGGAGGGGGAGAACAACAGGAGACGGUAGAUAAUACCGCAUACCCUCAGGAGUGCCCAGAUGGGGUUAGCGAGUAGGUGGGGUAACGGCGCACCUAGGGGACGAUCCCUAGCUGGUCUGAGAGGAUGACCAGCCACACUGGAACUGAGACACGGUCCAGACUCCUACGGGAGGCAGCAGUGGGGAAUAUUGCACAAUGGGCGCAAGCCUGAUGCAGCCAUGCCGCGUGUGUGAAGAAGGCCUUCGGGUUGUAAAGCACUUUCAGCGGGGAGGCGUUACCCGCAGAAGAAGCACCGGCUAACUCCGUGCCAGCCGCCGCGGUAAUAC